rnacentral:rRNA from 1 species
GGCGCACGGGUGCGUAACACGUACGUAAUCUACCUUUAACUGGAAGAUAGCCCGAAGAAAUUCGGAUUAAUAUUCCAUAACAUAAUGAAGAGGCAUCUCUUUAUUAUUAAAGCUCCGGCGGUUAAGGAUGAACAUGCGUCUGAUUAGCUAGUUGGCGGGGUAACGGCCCACCAAGGCAACGAUCAGUAGGGGAUCUGAGAGGAUGAUCCCCCACACUGGUACUGAGACACGGACCAGACUCCUACGGGAGGCAGCAGUAAGGAAUAUUGGACAAUGGGGGCAACCCUGAUCCAGCCAUGCCGCGUGAAGGAUGAAGGCCCUAUGGGUCGUAAACUUCUUUUGAACGGGAGAAACCCCGGGUACGUGUACCCGGUUGAUAGUACCGUUAGAAUAAGGGACGGCUAACUUCGUGCCAGCAGCCGCGGUAAUACGAAGGUCCCGAGCGUUAUCCGGAUUCAUUGCGUUUAAAGGGUGCGUAGGUGGAAUAAUAAGUCAGUGGUGAAAUCUUGCAGCUUAACUGUAAAACUGCCAUUGAUACUGUUGUUCUUGAGUGUAGUUGAUGUGGGCGGAAUAUGUCAUGUAGCGGUGAAAUGCUUAGAUAUGACAUAGAACACCGAUUGCGAAGGCAGCUCACAAAGCUACUACUGACACUGAGGCACGAAAGCGUGGGGAUCAAACAGGAUUAGAUACCCUGGUAGUCCACGCCCUAAACGUUGAUCACUCGCUGUUGGCGAUACACAGUCAGCGGCUAAGCGAAAGCGUUAAGUGAUCCACCUGGGGAGUACGAUCGCAAGAUUGAAACUCAAAGGAAUUGACGGGGGCCCGCACAAGCGGAGGAGCAUGUGGUUUAAUUCGAUGAUACGCGAGGAACCUUACCAGGGCUUGAAAGUUAGUGACAGGUGGUGAAAGCCACUCUUCCGCAAGGACACGAAACUAGGUGCUGCAUGGCUGUCGUCAGCUCGUGCCGUGAGGUGUUGGGUUAAGUCCCGCAACGAGCGCAACCCCUACUUCUAGUUGCCAACAGGUUAUGCUGGGACUCUAGAGGAACUGCCCGCGCAAGCGGUGAGGAAGGUGGGGAUGACGUCAAGUCAGCACGGCCCUUACGUCCUGGGCUACACACGUGCUACAAUGGUGGGAACAAAGGGCAGCUACACGGCAACGUGAUGCUAAUCCUCAAAUCCCAUCUCAGUUCGGAUUGAAGUCUGCAACUCGACUUCAUGAAGCUGGAUUCGCUAGUAAUCGGAUAUCAGCAAUGAUCCGGUGAAUACGUUCCCGGGCCUUGUACACACCGCCCGUCAAACAAUGGAAGUUGGGAGUACCUAAAGUCAAUUGCCGCAAGGUGUUGCCUAGGGUAAAACCAGUAACUGGUGUUAAGUCGUAACAAGGUA